AACGAACGCUGGCGGCAUGCCUAACACAUGCAAGUCGAACGAGACCUUCGGGUCUAGUGGCGCACGGGUGCGUAACGCGUGGGAACCUGCCCUUAGGUUCGGAAUAACUCCCCGAAAGGGGUGCUAAUACCGGAUAAUGUCUUCGGACCAAAGAUUUAUCGCCUUUGGAUGGGCCCGCGUUGGAUUAGCUAGUUGGUAGGGUAAAAGCCUACCAAGGCGACGCUUCAUAGCUGGUCUGAGAGGAUGAUCAGCCACACUGGGACUGAGACACGGCCCAGACUCCUACGGGAGGCAGCAGUGGGGAAUAUUGGGCAAUGGGCGAAAGCCUGAUCCAGCAAUGCCGCGUGAGUGAUGAAGGCCUUAGGGUUGUAAAGCUCUUUUACCCGGGAUGAUAAUGACAGUACCGGGAGAAUAAGCUCCGGCUAACUCCGUG
rnacentral:rRNA from 1 species